rnacentral:rRNA from 1 species
AGGCGACGAAAUCUAGACUAUUUAAGUUUUARUAURAAUUGACAAGCGGGUCAAAAGGCCCGCAUGCACCAGGGGGACGAUAAGACCCUAUAAAACUUUACUUUCAGGUUAGCACCUGGCAGGAGGGGGGGGUAUCUGAGAGUUUAACUGGGGCGGUUAUUAUAGAAACAAUUAUAUAUAAAAUAUAUUAUAUAGAUUAGUAGAACUCUCUAGAGAAAUAGAACAAGUUACUUUAGGGAUAACAGCGUGAUCCCCCCAGAGAGUCCUGAUUGGCGGGGGGGCUUACGACCUCGAUGUUGAAUUGGGGAUCCCUAUAUAAGCAAAUAUAUAUAUAGACAGUCUGUUCGACUAUUAAACUCCC